CACUAGGGCUGGAAUACGCUGACCUGUGACCACUCUGUUCUGUGCAGUCUAAGGUGGUGGAGAAAAAGAAAUCUGCCUUCAAAAUCUGGAAAAGCCAGUGUGAGAGCGCAACAGUAAACUUCCAGUCAUUCUGACUUCACUGCAUGAAAAAUAUCAAUGAUGUCAUUACUGUGGUAAGGACAGGUAGCAACCUGGCUGCUUAAGUGGACAAAACUGCACAACUAAAUGAAAAGGCAGAAUUGUUCUUUGACAUUUCUGGCCACUAAUUGAGAAGGAAGAUGAGCAGAUGGAGUUUUGUGCAACUGCCACAAGCCAGAACCUCUGGUAUAAAUGAUUUCACUCUGCUGGGAUAUAGAAGCUAUAUCUUCAUUAAUGAU